GAUGAACGCUAGCGAUAGGCUUAACACAUGCAAGUCGAGGGGCAGCAUGUCUUAGCUUGCUAAGACUGAUGGCGACCGGCGCACGGGUGCGUAACGCGUAUGCAACUUGCCUCACAGAGGGGGAUAACCCGUCGAAAGACGGACUAAUACCGCGUACACUCCAUCUUGGGCAUCCAAGGUAGAGGAAACGAAAUUCGCUGUGAGAUAGGCAUGCGUCCCAUUAGCUAGUUGGUGAGGUAACGGCUCACCAAGGCGACGAUGGGUAGGGGAACUGAGAGGUUGAACCCCCACACUGGUACUGAGACACGGACCAGACUACUACGGGAGGCAGCAGUGAGGAAUAUUGGUCAAUGGGCGAGAGCCUGAACCAGCCAAGUCGCGUGAAGGAUGACUGUCUUAUGGAUUGUAAACUUCUUUUAUACGGGAAUAACAAGAGUCACGUGUGACUCCCUGCAUGUACCGUAUGAAUAAGCAUCGGCUAACUCCGUG
rnacentral:rRNA from 1 species